AAUUCUAGAGAGAAAUGGAGAUUGGUAAUUUCUUACUAACCAAUUGUAAUGCUUGUUAGUAGAAGCUCC